rnacentral:rRNA from 1 species
ACUGAGUGGCGGACGGGUGAGUAACGCGUGGGUAACCUGCCCUGUACAGGGGGAUAACAGCUGGAAACGGCUGCUAAUACCGCAUAAGCGCACGAAGAGACAUCUCCUAGUGUGAAAAACUCCGGUGGUACAGGAUGGGCCCGCGUCUGAUUAGCUGGUUGGCAGGGUAACGGCCCACCAAGGCGACGAUUGGUAGCCGGACUGAGAGGUUGAACGGCCACAUUGGGACUGAGACACGGCCCAGACUCCUACGGGAGGCAGCAGUGGGGGAUAUUGCACAAUGGGGGAAACCCUGAUGCAGCGACGCCGCGUGGAGGAAGAAGGUUUUCGGAUUGUAAACUCCUGUCGUUAGGGACGAUAAUGACGGUACCUAACAAGAAAGCACCGGCUAACUACGUGCCAGCAGCCGCGGUAAAACGUAGGGUGCAAGCGUUGUCCGGAAUUACUGGGUGUAAAGGGAGCGCAGGCGGACCGGCAUGUUGGAAGUGAAAACUAUGGGCUCAACCCAUAAAUUGCUUUCAAAACUGCUGGCCUUGAGUAGUGCAGAGGUAGGUGGAAUUCCCGGUGUAGCGGUGGAAUGCGUAGAUAUCGGGAGGAACACCAGUGGCGAAGGCGACCUACUGGGCACCAACUGACGCUGAGGCUCGAAAGCAUGGGUAGCAAACAGGAUUAGAUACCCUGGUAGUCCAUGCCGUAAACGAUGAUUACUAGGUGUUGGAGGAUUGACCCCUUCAGUGCCGCAGUUAACACAAUAAGUAAUCCACCUGGGGAGUACGACCGCAAGGUUGAAACUCAAAGGAAUUGACGGGGGCCCGCACAAGCAGUGGAGUAUGUGGUUUAAUUCGAAGCAACGCGAAGAACCUUACCAGGUCUUGACAUCCGAUGCAUAGUGCAGAGAUGCAUGAAGUCCUUCGGGACAUCGAGACAGGUGGUGCAUGGUUGUCGUCAGCUCGUGUCGUGAGAUGUUGGGUUAAGUCCCGCAACGAGCGCAACCCUUAUUGCCAGUUACUACGAAAGAGGACUCUGGCGAGACUGCCGUUGACAAAACGGAGGAAGGUGGGGAUGACGUCAAAUCAUCAUGCCCUUUAUGACCUGGGCUACACACGUACUACAAUGGCGUUUAACAAAGAGAAGCAAGACCGCGAGGUGGAGCAAAACUCAAAAACAACGUCUCAGUUCAGAUUGCAGGCUGCAACUCGCCUGCAUGAAGUCGGAAUUGCUAGUAAUCGCGGAUCAGCAUGCCGCGGUGAAUACGUUCCCGGGCCUUGCACUCACCGCCCGUCA